ACGGCUCAGUAACACGUGGAUAACCUACCCUCAGGAGGGGGAUAACCCCGGGAAACUGGGGAUAAUACCCCAUAGAUCAGGGACGCUGGAAUGCCCCCUGAUUCAAAGGUCCGCCGCCUGAGGAUGGGUCUGCGGCCGAUUAGGUUGUUGUUGGGGUAACAGCCCAACAAGCCAUUGAUCGGUACGGGUUGUGAGAGCAAGAGCCCGGAGAUGGAUUCUGAGACACGAAUCCAGGCCCUACGGGGCGCAGCAGGCGCGAAAACUUUACAAUGCGAGAAAUCGUGAUAAGGGAACCCCGAGUGCCCGUAAAUUCGGGCUGUCCGCCAGUGUAAAUAACUGGUGAAGAAAGGGCCGGGCAAGACCGGUGCCAGCCGCCGCGGUAAUACCGGCGGCUCGAGUGGUGGCCACUAUUACUGGGCUUAAAGCGUCCGUAGCUGGAUUGUUAAGUCUCUUGGGAAAUCCACCGGCUCAACCGAUGGGCGUUCAGGAGAAACUGGCAAUCUAGGGACCGGGAGAGGUGAGAGGUACUCCAGGGGUAGGAGUGAAAUCCUGUAAUCCUUGGGGGACCACCUGUGGCGAAGGCGUCUCACUAGAACGGCUCCGACAGUGAGGGACGAAAGCUGGGGGAGCAAACCGGAUUAGAUACCCGGGUAGUCCCAGCUGUAAACGAUGCGCGUUAGGUGUAUCGGUGACCACGAGUCAUCGAGGUGCCGAAGGGAAACCGUGAAACGUGCCGCCUGCGAAGUACGGUCGCAAGGCUGAAACUUAAAGGAAUUGGCGGGGGAGCAC
rnacentral:rRNA from 1 species